rnacentral:rRNA from 1 species
AUUGAACGCUGGCGGAAUGCUUUACACAUGCAAGUCGGGCGGCAGCACGGGGGCAACCCUGGUGGCGAGCGGCGAACGGGUGAGUAAUACAUCGGAACGUACCCUGUCGUGGGGGAUAACGAAUCGAAAGAUUCGCUAAUACCGCAUACGACCUGAGGGUGAAAGCGGGGGAUCGCAAGACCUCGCGCGAUAGGAGCGGCCGAUGUCGGAUUAGCUAGUUGGUGGGGUAAAGGCCCACCAAGGCGACGAUCCGUAGCUGGUCUGAGAGGAUGAUCAGCCACACUGGGACUGAGACACGGCCCAGACUCCUACGGGAGGCAGCAGUGGGGAAUAUUGGACAAUGGGCGCAAGCCUGAUCCAGCCAUGCCGCGUGAGUGAUGAAGGCCCUAGGGUUGUAAAGCUCUUUUUACCAGGGAUGAUAAUGACAGUACCUGGAGAAUAAGCUCCGGCUAACUCCGUGCCAGGAGCCGCGGUAAGUGACGUCAGACG